rnacentral:rRNA from 1 species
CGUACACUCCUGCGGGAGGCAGCAGUGGGGAAUAUUGGACAAUGGGCGCAAGCCUGAUCCAGCCAUGCCGCGUGAGUGAUGAAGGCCCUAGGGUUGUAAAGCUCUUUCACCGGUGAAGAUAAUGACGGUAACCGGAGAAGAAGCCCCGGCUAACUUCGUGCCAGCAGCCGCGGUAAUACGAAGGGGGCUAGCGUUGUUCGGAUUUACUGGGCGUAAAGCGCACGUAGGCGGACUAUUAAGUCAGGGGUGAAAUCCCGGGGCUCAACCCCGGAACUGCCUUUGAUACUGGUAGUCUUGAGUGCGAGAGAGGUGAGUGGAAUUCCGAGUGUAGAGGUGAAAUUCGUAGAUAUUCGGAGGAACACCAGUGGCGAAGGCGGCUCACUGGCUCGAUACUGACGCUGAGGUGCGAAAGCGUGGGGAGCAAACAGGAUUAGAUACCCGGGUAGUCCCAU